CUAAGAAGUAAGAACAUAGAGGAAAAAUGGGUGAGUUUGUGCGUGCGUUGUGUUUGUAUGUGGGCAGUCUCCUGACUCCAUAGAAUUAGAGUGAAGCAAUUGAAGAAAUCUUCUCCCAAAUUACAGACCCAUUCCCAGACACUCAACGGAGGGAGUGUGUGUACGCGCGAGAGAGAGCAAUUUGACUCGGUAAUGAAUGAUUGAGGCGUUGCAAUUCUCAGAGUCGAAAAUCCAGUGCUGAUCACCCCCCUCCGUUUCCACCGUGAGUCAGCUUACAGAUAAACCAACACACUGUAGAACUUUUCGCUGGUAUAGUUUGGUUUGAUGAGAUGGAUAAUGAAGUUGUGGAGGUAGAUAUGCAGAAAAGGCAAAAGAGUAGGGAAGCUCCAACCCAACAUGGAGAUGAUGAGGCUGAAAAUUUAAGUGGAAUUUCUACCAGUCAGGCUGAUGCUGGGAAUAAUAAACCAUAUGUUAAUAUGGAGUUUGAAUCUCAAGAAGCUGCAAGGGAGUUCUAUGAUUCAUAUGCCAGGCAAGAGGGUUUUAGCACUCAUGUUGGUCAAUAUACCCGAAAUAAGCCUGAUGGUCCGAUUGUUUCUUGGGAAUUUUUCUGCUCCAGCGAGGUUUUCAAGAGAAAGAAUGUCGAGAGCUGCAAUGCCAUGCUUCAAAUAGAGCGUAAAGAUACCGGCACUUGGGUUGUGACAAAGUUUGUUGAGGAUCAUAAUCAUUCUAUUGUGAGUCCCAGCAAAGUGCAUUUCCUUAGACCUCGCAGGCAUUUUGCUGGAGCAACAAAGAAUGCCCUACCUGAGUCAGCUGAUAACCAAAACGAUGUUAUGGUCUCUGUGGAUGGAAACCAUGUAUUGUAUGAUUCCAAUCUUGUCAUGAGGAACACAUCACCCAUAGAGGCAAAUCCUGUUGCAAAGAAUAUGUCUCCUGCAGAAACAAUCUCUGUUGGUCGUACUGCAUCCUGCGUGGAAACAAGUCGUGCCACUACGAGUUCUGUUCCAGUGAUGCCACUGCAGUAUAUUCAACCUUCUAGUCGAAGAAGAGCUCUAGGAAGAGAUGCUCAUGACCUUCUCACUUAUUUCAGGAAAAUGCAGGCUGAAAACCCUGGGUUUUAUUAUGCUAUACAGCUUGAUGACGACAACCGCUUGAGCAAUGUUUUCUGGGCUGAUGCGAGAUCAAGGUCAGCUUAUAGUCACUUUGGUGAUGCAGUUACUUUUGACACAAUGUAUAGACCUAAUCAGUUUCAGGUCCCUUUUGCUCCCUUCACUGGAGUAAACAAUCAUGGACAAAUGGUUUUAUUUGGCUGUGCUCUUCUUUUGGAUGAAUCAGAGGCUUCCUUUGCUUGGGUGUUCAAAACAUGGCUGUCUGCUAUGAACAACCGGCAUCCUGUUUCCAUAACAACUGACCAAGAUAGGGCCAUAAAGGUAGCAGUUAAUCAGGUGUUCCCAGAAGCUCGUCACUGCAUUUGCAAGUGGCACAUCUUAAGAGAAGGCCAAGAAAGAUUGGCGCACGUAUACCUUGCUCAUCCUUCUUUUUAUGGAGAGCUUUAUAGCUGCAUCAAUUUUUCUGAGACAAUUGAGGAUUUUGAAUUAUCAUGGAGUUCUAUACUUGACAAGUAUGAUAUCCAGAAAAAUGAGUGGCUUCAAGCUGUAUAUAAAGCUAGGAAGCAGUGGGCUCCUGUUUAUUUUCGUGACACCUUUUUUGCUGCACUUUCAUCAAACCAUGGAGUAAGCUCUUUCUUUGAUGGUUAUGUGAACCAGCAGACGACAAUAUCCAUUUUCUUCAAGCAAUACGAACGUGCUUUGGAGAAUUUUUUAGAAAGAGAAAUAGAAGCAGAUUACUACACAAUUAGUGCAACUCCUGUACUGAAGACUCCAUCUCCAAUGGAACAACAGGCAGCUAAUUUAUAUACAAAAAAGGUUUUUGAAAAGUUUCAAGAAGAACUAGUUGAAACUUUUGUACACACUGCCAAUAAGAUUGAUGGUGAUGGUGCAAUUAGUAAAUUUAGGGUGGCUAAGUAUGAGCAUGAUCACAAGGCUUACAUCGUCAUAUUAGAUGUUUCAGAAAUGAAUGCAAGUUGCAGUUGCCAGAUGUUUGAGUAUUCAGGGGUUCUAUGCAGACACAUAUUGACUGUCUUUACUGUCACAAAUGUUCUCACUGUUCCAUCUCAGUACAUAUUAAAGAGGUGGACAAGGGAUGCAAGAGCUGGCUCGUUGGAUGAGCAAGAUACAGGUGUCUCUGCGGAAUCUCUCACAGUUCGUUUCAAUAAUCUUUGUCGAGAAGCGCUAAAAUUUGCAGAGGAAGGAGCCAUUGCUGCAGAGACUUACAAUGCAGCUGUUGAUGCUUUACAAGAAGGUGUCAGGAAGAUUGCCUUGGUGAAAAAAUUUGUAGCAAAAAACAUGCCUGCUACAUGUCAGAGCAGUGGAAAUUUCCAGGAUAAUGGUAGCAAGAAAGCUUUCGUAACAACUCCUGACAUGAUCCCAUCAUUAUGGCCCUGGCAAGAUGCUUUGUCUAAUCGCUUUAAUCUUAAUGAUGCUGGAGUCCCAGCUGCUGAUUUGAGCCAGCCAACUUUGGCCUCUUUGGCUAUAAACCGUGAUGGUGUGCUUGCUGAUAAUACUGUGGUUCUCACUUGUUUUAAGUCCAUGACAUGGGUUAUUGAGAAUAAGAGCACAGCAAGUAAAGUGGCUCUUAUCAAUUUGAAGGCAGCUCCAAGAUUAUGGCAAGGCUCCCUCAGGAGAAACUGAGGUGCAGUUUAGACUUACAAGAACGACGCUGGAGCCAAUGUUGAAAUCCAUGGCUUACAUAAGUCAGCAGCUCUCAGCACCAGCUAACAAGGUUGCUGUCAUCAAUCUAAAGGUGUGUUAAUGUGAUUCUGGGCGUGGCAUGGUUCGCCACUGGGGUAUUAAACACAAUUGGGCAAAAUAAAAAAUGGAUUUCGGGUGAACGACAAUCUAUUGUGUUUGAAGGGUGAUCCUUCAUGGACCAGACGAGUGUGCGGCUGUGGAGAUCUGCCGUCUUUGGAGGUGGGCGGACACUGUUGGUUAAUGUGGGCAAUCAAGGGGAGUGGUCCUCUACCUAAAUAUAGCUUGACUGCCUAUGAAAAGAAGACAGAGUUUGAGGCUUUGAUUUUGGCCUUCCCGGCUGUUCUACAGCCACUCUUGGGCCUUCCUCCUCAUGUGAGUGAUCACGAUAUAACUCUCCAGCAGGGCCCUUAGCCAUUUGGUUCAGCUGCACUGAUACAAUCACUCCCAAAGAGAUGAGAUUGAGAAGUUGGUAAUUGAGAUGUUGGUGGAGGGCAUAACUCAACCGAGUUGUAGUCCUUAUUCGAUCUCUGUUCUUUUGAUUCGAAAGAAUGAUUUGCUCGUGAAGGUUUUGUGUGGACUAAUGCGCAUUGAAUAAAAUCACAUUCCUUGUAAAUAUCUUGUACCCGUGAUCCAAGAGCUGUUGAAAGAGUUGCAUGGGUCGUGUUGGUUCAAUAAAAAUGAAUCUUGUAGCAGGGUAUAAUCAUCCGAGUAGCUCGUGAAGAUGUGCCAAUGACGACCUUCAGAACCCAAAUCUGACCACUACGAAUUUCUAGCAUGUUGGUUGGCCUUACUAAUGCCCCCUGUCACCUUCUAAAGCUUGCUAAAUGAUAUCUUUCGGCCUUUUAUGCAAAUUCUACCUGCUCAUCAUUUUUUUAACGACAUAUUAGUCUACAGCCGCACACAUCCACUCUAGGUAUUCCAAUUCCUUCACACUCAUUCCUUAAUUAUUAAUCCUAAAAAAUGUGUAUUAGGCAUUUCAACUGUGGAGUAUCUGGGUCAUAUUGUGUCAGCCAAGGGCGUUCACAUGAAUCCUGUGAAAGUGGUGGCAGUUGUGGAAUGGCUGACUCCCUUGUCACCCUGUCUUUGCUUUAUUUGUGACUGCAGUAAGAUUGUGGCUCCCUCAACAGCCUUACUGAAGAAAGAAACUUUGAAACCAUGGGAUUGGUCAGAGGCGAGGAGGCCAACAGGGCUUUUGAGGUGCUCAAUACAGU